AGCGAACGCUGGCGGCGUGCUUAACACAUGCAAGUCGAGUGCGUAGCCCUUUGUAGCAAUACAGAGGGUGGGCGCACGGCGCACGGGUGAGUAACACGUGGGUAACCUGCCCUUCGGUGGGGAAUAACCCGCGAAAGCGGGGCUAAUUCCGCAUAACAUUCCGGGGACACAUGUUCUCGGACUCAAAGGAGUGAUUCGCCGGAGGGAGGGGCCCGCGCCGAUUAGCUUGUUGGUAGGGUAACGGCCACCAAGGCUUUGAUCGGUAGCCGGUCUGAGAGGAUGGCCGGCCACACUGGAACUGAGACACGGUCAGACUCCGUACGGGAGGCAGCAGGUGGGGAAUCUUGCGACAAGUGGGCGAAACGCCUGACGCAGCGACGCCGCGGUGGGG
rnacentral:rRNA from 1 species